CACGUAGGCGGAUCGAUCAGUUAGGGGUGAAAUCCCAGGGCUCAACCCUGGAACUGCCUCUAAUACUGUCGAUCUCGAGUUCGAGAGAGGUGAGUGGAAUUCCGAGUGUAGAGGUGAAAUUCGUAGAUAUUCGGAGGAACACCAGUGGCGAAGGCGGCUCACUGGCUCGAUACUGACGCUGAGGUGCGAAAGCGUGGGAGCAAACA
rnacentral:rRNA from 1 species